UGGGGGAUAUUGCACAAUGGGCGAAAGCCUGAUGCAGCGACGCCGCGUGGGGGAUGAAGGCCUUCGGGUUGUAAACUUCUUUUGCUCUGAACAAGGCAUGCUAAUGGGUGUGUUGAGUGUAGGGGUUGAUUAGCGCCGGCUAACUACGUGCCAGCAGCCGCGGUAAUACGUAGGGCGCGAGCGUUGUCCGGAAUUAUUGGGCGUAAAGGGCUUGUAGGUGGCUGGUUGCGUCUGUCGUGAAAGCUCAUGGCUUAACUGUGGGUUUGCGGUGGGUACGGGCUGGCUUGAGUGCAGUAGGGGAGGCUGGAAUUCCUGGUGUAGCGGUGGAAUGCGCAGAUAUCAGGAGGAAUACCGGUGGCGAAGGCGGGUCUCUGGGCUGUUACUGACGCUGAGGAGCGAAAGCAUGGGUAGCGAACAGG
rnacentral:rRNA from 1 species